AUUGAACGCUGGCGGCAUGCUUUACACAUGCAAGUCGAACGGUAACAGGGUGCUUGCACCGCUGACGAGUGGCGAACGGGUGAGUAAUGCGUCGGAACGUGCCGAGUAGUGGGGGAUAACGCAGCGAAAGUUGUGCUAAUACCGCAUACGUACUGAGGUAGAAAGUGGGGGACCUUCGGGCCUCACGCUAUUCGAGCGGCCGACGUCUGAUUAGCUAGUAGGUGAGGUAAAGGCUCACCUAGGCGACGAUCAGUAGCGGGUCUGAGAGGAUGAUCCGCCACACUGGGACUGAGACACGGCCCAGACUCCUACGGGAGGCAGCAGUGGGGAAUUUUGGACAAUGGGCGAAAGCCUGAUCCAGCCAUGCCGCGUGUCUGAAGAAGGCCUUCGGGUUGUAAAGGACUUUUGUCAGGGAGGAAAUCCCUAGUGCUAAUAACACUGGGGGAUGACAGUACCUGAAGAAUAAGCACCGGCUAACUACGUGCCAGCCGCCGCGGUAA
rnacentral:rRNA from 1 species